AUAUGCCGAGAGGUGAAAUGAAUUUCGCCUGAGGAUGAGCCCGCGUCUGAUUAGCUAGUUGGUGAGGUAAGAGCUCACCAAGGCAUCGAUCAGUAGCUGGUCUGAGAGGAUGAUCAGCCACACUGGGACUGAGACACGGCCCAGACUCCUACGGGAGGCAGCAGUGGGGAAUUUUCCGCAAUGGGCGAAAGCUUGACGGAGCAACGCCGCGUGAGGGAUGAAGGCCUCUGGGCUGUAAACCUCUUUUCUCAAGGAAG
rnacentral:rRNA from 1 species